GGCCUCGUAGCUCAGUUGGCUAGAGCGUUGACUGUACUAAAGCCUUCCCCUUGCUGUUUUGGGUUCAAAUCCCACCGAGGCGG
rnacentral:tRNA from 1 species